AUGUUAGGUUAUAUUGUGUUGUUUACGGAAAAUGAUGAUUAAUUUCUUCGUUUUUAACGUUGGAUUAUUAUCUUUGGUUGCAGUCUCAUUGUCGGAAGAUUCUUAUAAAAUAUAUAACUUGGAGAGUGAUAAAGUAUGUUCGUAUAAGCACUUAGUAAGGAAUCGUAUCAAUGCAGGAUAUGAUGGACUGGUUGUACGAGAGAAUUCUUACUUUGACUCUCUCUCCGGAAAACAUAGCUUUUCUUGCAAGUUUGAAGUUGAGGCAGGUUCCAAGAAACGUGGAUUAUUUGUUGUCAUGCAAAAUUUGCGCUUGAGACAGGACAAAAAGACUGGAGAUUGCAUUGAUUAUGUUCAGCUGAGGCAAGUUGACAAAGACUUUAUUAGCGAGAAUCUAAACAUCAACUUAAACUUAAAGAAAAAUCCCUUGCCUUGGGUGACAUUUUGUGGCGAUCUGAAAGCGCAGCGAGAUGGUAACUUAGAAAAUGAAAAAUCAACAGACCUGGCAGUGACUGGGUUUGUGAGUGACUACUAUGCUGUUGAGGUGGAAAUUUUCAUCAGCAAACUCCCUAUACUCAAUGACAAAAUUGAGUUGGAGAUGAUUUUCACCCCGUACUUGACUUGCAAGAACACAUGGAGUGAGUACAGGGACUGUGGUAUGGACAAAUGUAUUAAAAAACAGAAUUUCAAAGAUGGAUGGGUCAAUUGUCCUUACUUAAACUGUCCUGAUGAAGAGGGCUGUUCAAAUAGCACAUCAGAUGGAAAACAUAAUCCUCCAGAGCUGCGAAACCUGACAUUGACCGCAGUAACGUCGGUUUUCUGUUCGUUUUUCCUGUUUCUCCUUCUAAUCUGGUGCUGUCGCUAUUUUGAACUGCUUUGCUGGGGAGCAAACACACUGUUGGGACGGCCCAACCCAGUAGAGCUGAGUCCUAUGAACCGCCGAGCCCCCAGUCCAAGUGCCCCCCCACCUGACACCUCCGCCAAAGAUCUUCCCCCGUCAUAUGAAACUUUGUUCCCCGACAGGUAACUUCAAGACAGUUUAUCAUUUGCUGCCUGUGGCAAAGGAAUGAAGACCAUUUGAUAGAUGCAGGAUGUCAACCAUAAUAGACGACAUGAAAUAAAUUAAUAGUACUUAUUUUUCAGAAAAAAAUAUAUUUAAUUUUCCAAAGCCGAGGGCCAGUUGGCGCACAGGUUACUUGCCUCAGGGAACUUGAAAUACAUUAGAGGCAAGUAACCUGCCUACUCUACUGGCCUUGCGUAAACAAGGUUAGCCAAACAAGUUCAUGAAAGUCUUUUGCAACAAUAAUUGUUCUAAAGAAAGUGAUAAAUGAAGUAAUAGUUAAGGUAAUAUUUUCUAGGAAAUGCUGUGUCUGCUGUACACGUCACACCCUAAUAUCUAAUUUUUGCUUUAAUCCAUUUCAAUGACAUCAAUUGACAAUUUGUUUUUUGAGGUUAAAAUUGUUAGACUAAUAAUUAUACAUUAAAGGAUAGUAAUCACAUUCAAGUUAAAUUCACAUUACAAAGCAUUAUUUAAAGAAAUUUAUAUAAGUCUCAAAGUUUUAUUUAGGUAACCAAUGCCUACAUUAUUCAAAUUAUAAGCAUAGGUACUUAAGUGCUUCAGGUCAAUUUACUACUUAAUCAUUGAUUGUAUUUACAAUUCAGGAACAAAUAUAAAUAAUACAUUAGGAACUGAACAUAGUGCCUUUAUGUUUAGGCACUACGUGCAUUUUUUUGUUUUCUGUUUACUUGUACUAGAUAUUUUAUAUUGAGUAUAAUUUGUGCUGUCAAUCCUACUAAAUAAACUAGAACAAAUUUGUUUAACGUCCUUUUAAAUGUGUAAAUAUGUACAGAAUUCACCUUUAAAACCAGUAUUUUUGUAAUAUCUUGAAAAGAACCGUGUGUGGUGUUUUAUAUGUAUAAGAAAUGUUAUAUAUUUGAUAUUGUAUUUAUUUAUGUGUAUUUUAUACAAUUUAUUAAAUAUGCUCAUGCAUAU